rnacentral:rRNA from 1 species
CCCUUAGAUGUCCUGGACCGCACGCGCGCUACACUGUUCGACGCAGCGAGUCUUAACCUUGACCGAAAGGUUUGGGUAAUCUUCAGCAAAGUCGAACGUGAUGGGGAUCGAUCAUUGCAAUUAUUGAUCGUGAACGAGGAAUUCCUAGUAAGUGCAAGUCAUCAGCUUGCGCUGAUUACGUCCCUGCCCUUUGUACACACCGCCCGUCGCUACUACCGAUUGAAUGGUUUAGUGAGAUCUCUGGAUUGACGCUGGCUAGGGGGCGACCCUUGGCCAGACUGUUGAGAAACUGCUCAAACUUGAUCAUUUAGAGGAAGUAAAAGUCGUAACA